rnacentral:rRNA from 1 species
GAUGAACGCUGGCGGCGUGCUUAACACAUGCAAGUCGAACGAUGAAGCCCAGCUUGCUGGGUGGAUUAGUGGCGAACGGGUGAGUAACACGUGAGUAACCUGCCCUUAACUCUGGGAUAAGCCUGGGAAACUAGGUCUAAUACCGGAUAGGAGCGCCUACCGCAUGGUGGGUGUUGGAAAGAUUUAUCGGUUUUGGAUGGACUCGCGGCCUAUCAGCUUGUUGGUGAGGUAAUGGCUCACCAAGGCGACGACGGGUAGCCGGCCUGAGAGGGUGACCGGCCACACUGGGACUGAGAAACGGCCCAGACUCCUACGGGAGGCAGCAGUGGGGAAUAUUGCACAAUGGGCGCAAGCCUGAUGCAGCGACGCCGCGUGAGGGAUGACGGCCUUCGGGUUGUAAACCUCUUUCAGUAGGGAAGAAGCGAAAGUGACGGUACCUGCAGAAGAAGCACCGGCUAACUACGUG